AGACGAGUUGUUCCUAUUUUAAGUGCAAAAAUCUUAGUGUAGAGAUCAUUUCCCCGCCACUUACUGCUUUCCAGAUAUUACAGGUUCGGUCUUCAGAAUUUAUGGAUUGCUUUUACAGAACCAGUUGAUUUCGUUUUUUUUUUUUUUUAGUUAAUAACCAGGUAAUAGUGGCUAUGAUUUACAGGUUUUCUUCUAUGUGCAUUUAGAUGUUACUUUCCCUUACUUUUUAUUUUAUAAAACCUACCUGCUCAUCAGACUCUUUGUGUCCUGGUGUGAAUCAGAUUAAAAUGGGUUUGGAACAGACAUAAAAUGGUUGAUCUAACUGGGAGGAAUAAAUAUUAUUUUUUGUGCAAACAUUUUAUUUCAGGAUAUUUUAUGCUGAAGCGUUUUGCAGCUGAUUUUCUCUCCUAUGUUUUGAAGGUUUGAGCUCCAGGUCGCUGGUCUCCACUCAGCAGGUGUCAGGACACUCCUCAGCAGACAGUGAAGGGAAGAAGUAGAACCAUGUGAGGGACUCACAUGAGGGACGGCAGAUUUAUCAGACAUCAAUUCCUUGGUGUGGAAAAAGCUUCGCCUCGCUGAGAGGCAGGGAACAAGCAAACAGAGAAACAAACCUCUUUCAUUUCUUACUGAUGACAGCCACCGGUUUUAUAACUCGUCACAGAGGAGCAGGUCAGGUGGUGAGGGACAGAUCGCAGAAAUCAAAGGCGGGACUAAUUGUAUGAACCCAGACGUCAUAGUUUUGAGAGAAGCAGAUGUUGUGUAUAAGAUGAUACAUCCUAAAGCCCUGUGCACUCAGCUUUACCUCUGCUGUUGUGUUUAACUUUAUAAAAUGCACAUUUAUUGUAGUGUAAUAUAAUGACAAUAUGACUGAAUGUAAAAGGUAAUAACUCACAGUGUUCCAACUAUGUGGAUCCUCUUUUUUUAAAGCCCCGUUGGGACAAGAACAGCAUUAGGAAGCUAAAAAGUGUAUAAUUAUUGUUCUCAUUCUGAUUAUUGAAGUGGUCCUCCCUCCUUCAUAGUGCUGACGCUACAUUUGUAUUACUAACCUGUACUUGAGUGUAACCAUGUUGAUUGUAUUGUCUUUAUGUGGCAGUAAACCUUUCACAUCGACCUACCCAGUGCCAUUUACGAACCCCAGUGGUGUAAAUAUAUUCUGUACAGAUUUAUGGCAGAGCACCAAAAUGCUCACUGUUGACCACCAUCAGCCAUGCAGGGUGUGGGGGGGCAAAGCGGGAGCACCCAACAGGAAACAGAACCUCUAUCUGUUUAUUUCCCUCCUCGUCUUAUUUUUUAAGUCACAUAUUUUAUCAAAAGCGUUUGGUUGAAGUAAAACCUCACGCUUACUCUAUUAACACACAUUUUAGUUCAAAUCAAAAUGUAUUGAAUCUCCAAAAGAAAUUUUGUUCUGAAUUAUCACAACAUCAGAUAUCAAACUUCAGUUUUGUUUUGUUUUGUUUUUUUAAAAUUGUGCUUUGAUACAAAUUAGUCCAAAUUUAGACAAAACUGCUAACCGCUUGAACCCUUUAUAUUACUAGCUUGAGUGCUAGGUAUUCGUGCUAAUGACACGGAUUUGAUCAUUUUGUGUUGAAAUAAAAAUGUUAAUUUGACAGACAGCUAAAGGAACAACAUGUUUACUGUGCUUUAAAAUAAAAAGAAGUCAGUGCUUUUAAGAGAUGUUGGAGUGGCUGGUUUCAAAAUCUACUACAGGAGCCGCAGCCACGUCUAUAUUAGCGCAUCAGUUAGCAGGUAGCAUGUUCACUGUGCGAUGUUUGACUGCAACAUCAAAAUAUAUUAAAAUCCUAAUAUAAAUCAUGAAAUUACUUUAACUUUUAAUAUUUAUUUUAUGAUAUGUACUUUGGUGUUAAUAGUGUUUAAGUAAAUAAAAUUGGAGUGAUUUGGCUUGGCUAGCUGUUAGCUUGCGGGCCAAGGGUGUUAGCUGACACAAGUGGAUUAGGUUUGACUCUUAUUUAUAUUUACAUUAUAUACAUUUCAAUCCUCUAGGAUGUUUACAGUUUAAUAUUUUAAUUUAUGUAUUUGCUCCAACUGAACCUGAUCAUGAAAGAAAAAUACAGCAGAUUAGCCAUAACAAUAGGCCUACCUAUAAGCAGGUGCUAAUUAUUACAAUGCAGUUUGUUUUAAACACAACUGCAUUGUAAUUGUAACUAAAAAAAAAUUAUAUCAUUCACAGCUUUUAGGUCAUCAAUGUUUUGUUAUCUUACGAAGAGGAUUACAUUUAAAUAAUUCAGUUCAGUUAAAUUUAGUUUAUACACACAGUGCCAAAUCACAUUAAAUGUUGUCUUAUGGCUCUUUAUAUGAAAACCAACAGGACAAACAAGCCCACUUCACAUCCAGUCAGUCACAGUAAUGUUCAUACACGUUGUAAAGGGCCUGUUAAAUUCUGUGCCUAAAAGUCAGGUUCUCAGUUUUAUUGAUUCAAACUUAAAAAAAAAAAAAAAAAAAAACUAAUAAAUGCUUUACAAAAGUGUUCUUGGCAAGACAGACAACAGCCCAAUUCCAGCCAAUUAGCUGUCCCCAUCUUAAGGAAUGAUAAGGUAACAAUGGAGAGAAAAAAUUAAUUGUAUUAUUAAUCCAUUACCUGUAAGUUAUAAGAUUCCUGGUUUGCCCUAAAUCCCAGACUUUUGAUCUGAACAUGAGCUUUAAACACCAUUUCUCACUGACAUGUUUUUACAGAUAUGGGAAAAAAAAAAAAUGUAGCCCCAAACAUUAAGUUUUUACCUCAACAUAAAGUUUGUUUAAAAAUCUUAAAUAAGAAUCAGUGUCAAACUGAUAUGUUUACAAACCGAUCUGGGCAUCUUUGUUCAGGUAAACUAGGAAAUUUUGACCAAAAACCUCAUUGUUGUUUGUUACAAGAGUUUAAUUUCUUCAAUAUCUUGUUCCUAUAAAUGUUUAAUUUGCUUGUUAGAACAUUUACAUGCAGCAGGACUGUAUUUCACAGCUCAAGACGAGUUGUUUUUUUUUUUCUUCUUCUUUUUUUUUUGUUUUUUUUACACACAGCUUGUUAAAUAUUUCAUUGUUUGCAGCUUUACCUGAACAUUUCAGGUUUAGGAAUGUUUUAUUUUCCUUAAUUAUUAAGUGACAACUGCCAUGUUACAGGAAACAAUGGCUGAUUUGAUAUCUGAUGAUGGUAAAUGGAUGCAUAAAGUAAAAAAAAAAAAGCUUUGAAAGUGUAAGGCAUACAUUUGUAUCGUUAGUAUGUUGGAUGAUUUGCCCCUUCUCUGCUCCCAUUCUUCCUACCAGCUGAGCAGCUCACAGCAGAGCCUCUGAUAAACACAAUCAGCUUUUACCUCGAGGGUUGAACCUCCGCCAAACCUCCAGAACUAUUCAACGUCCAUCGACUAACUCAGUGUAUGAUUAUCUCACUCAAACAAAGCCCGUUGGAUGUUUGCCAGCAUCACAAUCACAUGGAUGGUCACAAAGCUUUUCAUUUGAAAACUAUCGAUUGUUCUCUUUAUUCAGUAUUUGACCAAUAGCAGGUAUAAAAGGACAGAAGCCCUGCAGUGCACUGAGUUCUGCAGGUUUCCUCACAUAUGGCUGAUUAGACCGUUAAAAGCAUUCUGCAGCACUUUGGUCCUCCCAGGCCUCCGGGCUCACAUCAUGAGGGACUUACCGAAUGUUAUUUUAAAUUAACCUUUAUGUAAUUAGUUUCAUACUCUUACUUACAGCAACAACCUAAAAAAAAAAAAAAAAAAAAACUAGGCUGAGAGCAAACACCCCAAUGCCCCAGCAUAUCUAUCAGCGGCUCUGCCUCACCAACACGACACCUUACCUUCAUAGUAUCAGUGGUCAUUUUAUUACUUGAAUCUAGUGCUAUGAACUCUGUUUACAAACUUCUGUCUACUCUUUGGAGAGACCAUUGUUGUCUCAUAAAGGCUGCUUGGUAUGUUCAGUUCAUCCGCCUGGUGUACCCAGUGAAUAACACUCAGAAACUGUAUAAACAUGAGUCCUGCUGUUGCUUUUUUAUACUGUAUAUGCCUUAAUUCAUAUGGUUGGCAAUCAUGAUUAAAGGAUGUUUAUAUAUAUA